AACGAACGCUGGCGGCAGGCCUAACACAUGCAAGUCGAACGUGAAGCCACCUUCGGGUGGUGGAAAGUGGCAGACGGGUGAGUAACGCGUGGGAACGUGCCUUUCGGUUCGGGAUAACCCAGGGAAACUUGGGCUAAUACCGGAUACGCCCUCCGGGGGAAAGAUUCAUUGCCGAAAGAUCGGCCCGCGUCGGAUUAGCUAGUUGGUGGGGUAAAAGCCUACCAAGGCGACGAUCCGUAGCUGGUCUGAGAGGACGACCAGCCACACUGGGACUCGGACACGGCCCAGACUCCUACGGGAGGCAGCAGUGGGGAAUAUUGGACAAUGGGCGCAAGCCUGAUCCAGCCAUGCCGCGUGGGUGAAGAAGGCCCUAGGGUUGUAAACCCCUUUCAGCGGGGAAGAUAAUGACGGUACCCGCAGAAGAAGCCCCGGCUAACUCCGUGCCAGCCGCCGCAGUAACAC
rnacentral:rRNA from 1 species